rnacentral:rRNA from 1 species
AACGAACGCUGGCGGCAUGCCUAACACAUGCAAGUCGAACGAGACCUUCGGGUCUAGUGGCGCACGGGUGCGUAACGCGUGGGAACCUGCCCUUAGGUUCGGAAUAACUCCCCGAAAGGGGUGCUAAUACCGGAUAAUGUCUUCGGACCAAAGAUUUAUCGCCUUUGGAUGGGCCCGCGUUGGAUUAGCUAGUCGGUAGGGUAAAAGCCUACCAAGGCGACGAUCCAUAGCUGGUCUGAGAGGAUGAUCAGCCACACUGGGACUGAGACACGGCCCAGACUCCUACGGGAGGCAGCAGUGGGGAAUAUUGGACAAUGGGCGAAAGCCUGAUCCAGCAAUGCCGCGUGAGUGAUGAAGGCCUUAGGGUUGUAAAGCUCUUUUACACGGGAUGAUAAUGACAGUACCGGGAGAAUAAGCUCCGGCUAACUCCGUG